rnacentral:tRNA from 8 species
GCACCCGUGGUGAAAUUGGUAGACACGCAAGAUUCAGGUUCUUGUGCCAGCAAUGGCGUGAUGGUUCGACUCCAUUCGGGUGCACCA